GGGUUUAAAGGGUGCGUAGGCGGCCCAUUAAGUCAGUGGUGAAAGCCCGGGGCUCAACCCCGGAACCGCCAUUGAUACUGGUGGGCUUGAGUAUGGACGAGGUUGGCGGAAUUGAGGGUGUAGCGGUGAAAUGCUUAGAUACCCUCAAGAACACCGAUUGCGUAGGCAGCUAACUAGGCCAUAACUGACGCUGAGGCACGAAAGCGUGGGGAGCGAACAGGAUUAGAUACCCUGGUAGUCCACGCCGUAAACGAUGAUUACUCGAUGUCGGCGACAGACUGUCGGCGUCUUAGCGAAAGCGUUAAGUAAUCCACCUGGGGAGUACGCCCGCAAGGGUGAAACUCAAAGGA
rnacentral:rRNA from 1 species